rnacentral:rRNA from 1 species
ACGUAGGGUGCAAGCGUUAAUCGGAAUUACUGGGCGUAAAGCGUGCGCAGGCGGUUCUGUAAGACAGAUGUGAAAUCCCCGGGCUCAACCUGGGAAUUGCAUUUGUGACUGCAGGACUAGAGUUCAUCAGAGGGGGGUGGAAUUCCAAGUGUAGCAGUGAAAUGCGUAGAUAUUUGGAAGAACACCAAUGGCGAAGGCAGCCCCCUGGGAUGCGACUGACGCUCAUGCACGAAAGCGUGGGGAGCAAACAGGAUUAGAUACCCUGGUAGUCCACGCCCUAAACGAUGUCUACUGGUUGUUGGGGUUUUUUAACCUUGGUAACGAAGCUAACGCGUGAAGUAGACCGCCUGGGGAGUACGGUCGCAAGAUUA